GCCAAAUUAAACCUCUUCCUUGAACCCCGGUGAUUGCAUCCAGCCCAUCUGGCUUUUCCAAGAUCCUUAAUCACAGGAAGUCACUUUGCAAUAUAAGGAACCACAGAGCACUUUUGAACAAGGAGAUGUGGACUGCAGCUUAUGUUAGAGCAAUGCUUCCCAAAUACAGAUGGUCUCCACAGUAUCCUGUGAAUUUUAUUAAGAUGCAGACUCUGAUUCAGCAGUUCUUGGGUGAGAUUCUUCAUUUUUAACAAAUCCCCUAGGCCAAGGAUUCCAAACCAAGAGCAAUACUUGAUUAGCAAGGUGGAGAGCAUUUCAACUAUAGAGCUUCCUCUUGAUAUAUUGUUAUUCUCAAGCCAGACACAUGUACUGAGUGCCUCCAACAUAGACUCAUU
rnacentral:lncRNA from 1 species